AACGAACGCUGGCGGCAGGCCUAACACAUGCAAGUCGAGCGAGGACUUCGGUCCUAGCGGCGGACGGGUGAGUAACGCGUGGGAACGUGCCCUUUGCUACGGAAUAGCCCCGGGAAACUGGGAGUAAUACCGUAUGUGCCCGAGAGGGGAAAGAUUUAUCGGCAAAGGAUCGGCCCGCGUUGGAUUAGGUAGUUGGUGGGGUAAUGGCCUACCAAGCCGACGAUCCAUAGCUGGUUUGAGAGGAUGAUCAGCCACACUGGGACUGAGACACGGCCCAGACUCCUACGGGAGGCAGCAGUGGGGAAUCUUAGACAAUGGGGGAAACCCUGAUCUAGCCAUGCCGCGUGAGCGAUGAAGGUCUUAGGGUUGUAAAGCUCUUUCAGUGGGGUAGAUAAUGACGGUACCCACAGAAGAAGCCCCGGCUAACUCCGUGCCAGCCGCCGCCGUAACAC
rnacentral:rRNA from 1 species